rnacentral:rRNA from 1 species
UACGUAGGGUGCAAGCGUUUAAUCGGAAUUACUGGGCGUAAAGCGUGCGCAGGCGGUGAUGUAAGACAGAUGUGAAAUCCCAGGGCUCAACCUUGGAACUGCAUUUGUGACUGCAUCGCUGGAGUGCGGCAGAGGGGGAUGGAAUUCCGCGUGUAGCAGUGAAAUGCGUAGAUAUGCGGAGGAACACCGAUGGCGAAGGCAAUCCCCUGGGCCUGCACUGACGCUCAUGCACGAAAGCGUGGGGAGCAAACAGG